UGGGGAAUUUUGGACAAUGGGCGCAAGCCUGAUCCAGCUAUUCCGCGUGUGGGAUGAAGGCCCUCGGGUUGUAAACCACUUUUGUAGAGAACGAAAAGACACCUUUUAAUAAAGGGUGUUGCUGACGGUACUCUAAGAAUAAGCACCGGCUAACUACGUGCCAA
rnacentral:rRNA from 1 species